rnacentral:tRNA from 1 species
GCCUCCUUAGCUCAGCCGGAUAGAGCAGCGGCCUUCUAAGCCGACGGUCCGAGGUUCGAAUCCUCGAGGAGGCG